AAUUUUUCCAGUUAAACUUAAUGGAAUGGAUUUUUUUUUUUAAUAAUAGCUUUUCAACUAGAAACAUUUUCAGGGACAAAUAAACGCUGUUAAGCAAGAAAGAGGCUUAAUUAAUUACUUGAAACUGAGUUAAAAUUUUAAGGGGGAUUAGACUUGGUACUGAGAUGAAGAUCAGUGUAAAUGCCAAAUUGGUUUGCCCUGAAGGCAGGUUGACAUCUAUCACAUCCACUGAGAAGAGACUUAAGACCUGGACGGUGACAGGGGGCCAAGAUUUAUGUUGAGAGUGGGGGAAGGGUAGAGAGGCCAGUGAAAGAAGGAAACACCAGAGAAGAGCCAAGAGAGGGCAAAGAGAUAAUGAUUAAAAGCUGACCUGGAAAUUUAGUUUGCUGUUCCACGAGCAGACUGUAGUUUGUUGUCGGAAAGUUAAGUCCUCAGGCUUCAUUCAGUUCUAGAUUUCAGCAAAAAUAAAUAGUCCCGGCUUUCAACUGGUGGAAGAGUUAUUUUCUAAGCUCAAAAAUAUUGUUUAUGAACUACAAGCUGGGCAAUUACUUCUGCUUCACGAGACCUCUUGAACUCGAAACAACCCUUUAAGGCCGAUCCGGUGCUUGCCUCUGGGCCGGCCAGAGAACUAACAGCACAUCUUCCUCGAAAGCCACCGGGCAAAUGCCCUGGCCUUUCUCCUCCCGAGGGUCACUGCCACCCCAAAACAGUUUUUCCCAUGGCAACAGUAAAAUGGUGUGGGCGAUCCCAAGAUGGAGGAUAUGUAUCUUUGAAAGUCAAACCUCAACAAUAAAAGCAAACAAAAAACGUAGAGGAGAUACGGCAUUGUCUUGUCUCCCCCUUCUUGCCCAUUCUAGACAGCUUUAUCAGCCUGUUUAUUGACAGCACCCAAAUAAAUCAGAUUUUUUUU